UCUUUUUCGGGAUGACUCAUUCGGCUGACAGAAUACACGGCUCUCUCACUUCUACGAGUUAUUUUUAACUGGCGCAUCAAUGCAGAAGCCUGGGUGAGCUUCAAAAGGAAAGAUUACAGCCUUUGAGUUUCCUCGAUGCUGCUGCUUACUGUUAUUUUGGGACCCGUGUGUUGGUUAUAUCAGAUCAUCAAGCAUAAGUCCGGGGCAGGACACCAGCGGCAGUCAGGCUCACCCACCAGCCACCUCCGCAGCAUGAACUCCUCAUACUUCUCCAUGAGGGCUUUGUCUCCCAGGAUCAUGCGGAUGUCAUGAGGAUUGAAGCGCUCUGCACACUCGGGGCAGCUGAUGUUGACGCGAGACUCUGAGAUCUCAAUGCGCAGGUACUGUCGCAGGCAGUCCGCACAGGAGCGAUGGGGACAGGUCAUGAUGUCGGGGAAGCGGUCGCGUACAUGGCGCAGCAGGCACAGGGGGCACUCCAGGUGCUCUGAUAUUGACACUGAUGAAGUCGACGCUACGCCCGGUAAAGAGUGUUCUGAGGUUUUGUCUAGGAAGGUCUCUGACUGCACAACUUCGGUGCUGACAACGGGGUCCACUCCAGAUCCGGUCUGCAGAGGCUUGGACUUGAACUUGGGGUCGCUGGUUGGACGCCGCCGCCGACCAAACAGCGCGUGCAGGGACAGGCGACGCUUCUUGGGGGUCUUUCUAAUAGAAGGGAGGCUGACAGAGGAGGUGGCCGAUUGAAGAUCUCGUUCUGAGCCUGUGCUGCCAUGAUGUUGCUGGUGCAGGCUGCUCAUCGUGCAAGAAGGGGCUGUGUUGGUGUUAGCACCAGAAAUUACCACAUCAGGAGAGGAGAUGAGGCAGAGCGGAGGGGGGGAGAGGGAUUGGGUUUGAAGGGACAGGUUGAUUGGGGAAGGGAGCGGGGCAGCUGUUAGCUAGGACAUUGCAACUUGAAGCUAGAACAGGAGGUUUUGAAGACCGUGGUGAUGUCUGUCCCAGGUCUAAACCACAGUGAUGCAGGGGCGAGGAUGUAGAUUUUCAGAUAUGGGACACCAACCUGAGAGAAACAGAAGAACAACAGGAAAUAAGGUACCGAACCACAGCUGAAUGCAUUCACUUUUAAUGUGCUGCUGCAAAAACAGAAACAUUUGCAAGCAAAAUGCAAAACCUGUUCUUCAGGAAGCAAAACCACUUUUCUCCUGGGGAUAAGACAGUUGAGAUAUGAUAUAAUCUAAUCAGCAAAGUCUAUAAAAGCAAGAUCAUUCCUUGAAUUAGGUUUUGCAGAGUGAAGAAGAUUUAAUCAGGCAUGCCUCCCAUGUACGCAUAUUAGCCUGCUUGCAGACACAACUGCAGGCUUUCCCCAGAGUGUGCAUUGGUCAAGUGUUGGACAAAACAAGUCAAAAUCUUCCACAAUAGAUCUCAGAUGUGAACACAGCUGUGCGGCCACACCUCGACACUCAAGUGCUCCCACAUGUUCGUGUUUUACGAUGAGAACAACUUCAGGAUAACUCAUCACUUGCGAGGGCAGAGUUUCUGUAGUGCAGACAUACAUCCACACUAGACAUACGAGGGAGGGACCUUCAAGUAUUGACGAACAAAUUCCCGGCAUUUCAGAAAGGGACACAACCUCGGAUUUCAACAGUGACACUGUGUGCUGCCGCCAUAAUGUACAAAGGGCAGUAUAUGUGCGUUUAAUCAGGUUAACCUGUCAACAGGAUAAAUAGAUUUUAGUCUCAGUAGCCAAUAAGACAACUGAACAGAGGAAAGUGUGUUUUCAAGGUUUUAAAGACCAGACAGAUGUUGAAAAGAAAUUGCAUCACCGUUUUUACAACACAAAGAUUCCAGUUGUAAAAAAACAAAUGCUUGACGCACGUAACCCAUGACAGACUUUACUUUAAAUACCGGUUUGUUUUUUGAGGCCAGUUCGAAACAUUCAAUGUAUGUUUAGUAUGUCCACUUUGUCCGACUUCUCUCUCUGCUUGUGUGUGCACCAAGGAAACCAAGACGUAACAAAUUAACAAGACGACAGUAAAUCUCCACAGGGGCAGCGAUCUCAAAAAGGCUCAGUCUCACAAGCUAAGAACCUGUCUGACUGGCUGUGGUUCUUCUUUCCUCGUGAUGACCAGCAGGCAGCAGUUUUAUUGCAGCUACUUCUGUGUUAAGAGUUUUUUUUUUUUCCAUUAAAGAACUUCUCAGCCAGUUUGGUGUCUGGCCUGGACAUUUCAUAAAGCUGAGUGUCCUUCCUCUUCGAUGUCAUCCAAAUAAGUUGGAUAGGUAAUCCUUGAUUGAUCCUAACCGAGCAAAUUCUAGUUUUAGUAGCUCAAGGGCAGAAUAGAUACAUGUAAAAAAAAAAAAAGAAGAAGAAAAGAAUAGAAUGACAGAGCUAGUUGUUUAUUUGUUUUUUCCUGUCAAGCAGUGAUCAGUUUCCCCAGGAUCUUAUCACAAGUGGUCACUUCAUGUGCACUUGAGUGUCCAUCAGAUGCUGGUUGUAAAAUGCAAUCCAUCUAAACUGGCUCUUGACACAUUUGAGAAGCUCUAAAUAUGUUCUCCAGCAUAAAAAGGAAGAUAUCUGUACUGAUACUGUAACGUCUUUUGAUUUUACGCCCAAACAUCCUCGUGUACAACGAAAACGAAAGCAAUAGCCUCGUUGUUCCAAAAGCCUUGGAGCAAUGUGCAUAGUUAACUGUGUUCUAAAGAUAAACGUGAAUUAAAAAGCCUGUCAACCAUAAUUGCAUCUCAUCGAGCCAUUAGCGCUGAAGCCAAGUUGUAAAGAAUAAUGUUUUAAAUGGCUCGGAAAGUUUUUAAAUGUCACAAUUGAAAACCAAAGUCAGCUAUCUUCAUACAAAUACUUGGGUGUGGUCGGCUAUCUGUUGUCCUGGAAAGAUCAGAGGGAGUAUGUCAACAUAGUGUCUGAAGUCAUUUGGAGCGAGUGGACAAAUCCUUUUGAUUAGUUUUUUACUUUUGUCAUAAAGUACUGUAGUACUACGUGGCACAAGUACUUUUACUUUGAAGUCGAAACUGGUCCGCCGAAAAAAACAAAAAGCUGGACAAAGACUUUUUGGAAAACCCCUUGAAACACUAUGACUCAGGUCCACAGUCACAUUUGUUCGCUGGUGAAUAAUCGUUAAACAAUGUUAGACUGAAGCACAUUUUGUUCACCAGUUGAUCCUAAAAGUACCUAGAAGGCCACUUCGCAGAGUGUGUUCCUCUGCCAAGGCUAAUGCUCUAUCAUGCCAUGUUAAACAAAGUGAAGGAAAUGACUGGAUCCACUUCUGCUCUGGCUUUUGAGGAUGCUAUGUGAUGCUACAUGUAUGUAUCCUUAGUUUGUCUCAAGCUGUAAAUGGAGCUGCUUCUGUGAUACCUGACAAACUGUACAUGCUCAGACAAUAAAGUAUUAUCAAUCACUAAAUCAUUUAA